rnacentral:rRNA from 1 species
GAUGAACGCUGGCGGCGUGCCUAAUACAUGCAAGUCGAGCGAACAGACGAGGAGCUUGCUCCUCUGACGUUAGCGGCGGACGGGUGAGUAACACGUGGAUAACCUACCUAUAAGACUGGGAUAACUUCGGGAAACCGGAGCUAAUACCGGAUAAUAUAUUUAACCGCAUGGUUCAAUAGUGAAAGACGGUUUUGCUGUCACUUAUAGAUGGAUCCGCGCCGCAUUAGCUAGUUGGUAAGGUAACGGCUUACCAAGGCAACGAUGCGUAGCCGACCUGAGAGGGUGAUCGGCCACACUGGAACUGAGACACGGUCCAGACUCCUACGGGAGGCAGCAGUAGGGAAUCUUCCGCAAAGGGCGAAAGCCUGACGGAGCAACGCCGCGUGAAUGAUGAAGGUCUUCGGAUCGUAAAACUCUGUUAUUAGGGAAGAACAAAUGUGUAAGUAACUAUGCACGUCUUGACGGUACCUAAUCAGAAAGCCACGGCUAACUACGUG